rnacentral:rRNA from 1 species
UACGUAGGGCGCGAGCGUUGUCCGGAAUUAUUGGGCGUAAAGAGCUCGUAGGCGGCCUGUUGCGUCUGCUGUGAAAUCCCGGGGCUUAACCCCGGGCGUGCAGUGGAUACGGGCAGGCUGGAGGCAGGCAGGGGAGAACGGAAUUCCCGGUGUAGCGGUGAAAUUCGUAGAUAUUGGGAAGAACACCGGUGGCGAAGGCGGCGACCUGGUCCUUGACUGACGCUGAGGCGCGAAAGCGUGGGGAGCAAACAGG